rnacentral:rRNA from 1 species
GUAGCUGCGAGCGAACAGGGAGAAGCCCAGCACCGAAUCCCGCGGCCGAUAUCGGGCGCCGGGAAAUGUGGUGUUAGGGAGGGUCCAUUAUCCCGAGAUCAUGCGGCGCGUCCAAGUCCUUCUUGAACGGGGCCACAGCCCAUAGAGGGUGCCAGGCCCGUAGUGACCGUUGCUGAUCGCGGGAGGAUCUCUCCUCAGAGUCGGGUUGCUUGAGAGUGCAGCUCUAAGUGGGUGGUAAACUCCAUCUAAGGCUAAAUAUGACCACGAGACCGAUAGCGAACAAGUACCGUGAGGGAAAGUUGAAAAGCACUUUGAAGAGAGAGUUCAAGAGUACGUGAAACCGUUUAGGGGUAAACCUGAGAAACCCGAAAGGUCGAAGGGAGAAAUUCAUUCGCGUUUCGAUGUUGGCGUGAGACGGAAUUGUGUGACGGAGAAUGUUUCGACGUUAUCCGCAUCUUCCGUUUUUCGAUCCUGACAACGAACGUGUGCACUUUUCUCCUGGUAGGACGUCGUGAUCCGUUGGGUGUCGAUCUAAGGCCCUCGGUGGAGUCCCUCGCAGACAUUUUUACGAAUGUUCCGUGUUGGGACCCGUGGUUGCCCGGCCGACUUGCUCGACGGUAUACGAAAGGUCGAAGGCCGCUUAUUUUUUGAGCGUUCGACUCGUUGCAAGCGCGUUGGAAGCGUUGGCUAUCGGACCUGGUGCCGAUACCGAUCUCCAAUGGCUGUUGGCGAUGAAGUUCUCGAACAGACCUUCCACGACCGAUCUACGACGCUAUAGCUUUGGGUACUUUCAGGACCCGUCUUGAAACAC